AGUGAACGCUGGCGGUAGGCCUAACACAUGCAAGUCGAACGGCAGCACAGUAAGAGCUUGCUCUUACGGGUGGCGAGUGGCGGACGGGUGAGGAAUACAUCGGAAUCUACUUUUUCGUGGGGGAUAACGUAGGGAAACUUACGCUAAUACCGCAUACGACCUACGGGUGAAAGCAGGGGAUCUUCGGACCUUGCGCGAUUGAAUGAGCCGAUGUCGGAUUAGCUAGUUGGCGGGGUAAAGGCCCACCAAGGCGACGAUCCGUAGCUGGUCUGAGGGGAUGAUCAGCCACACUGGAACUGAGACACGGUCCAGACUCCUACGGGAGGCAGCAGUGGGGAAUAUUGGACAAUGGGCGCAAGCCUGAUCCAGCCAUACCGCGUGGGUGAAGAAGUCCUUCGGGUUGUAAAGCCCUUUUGUUGGGAAAGAAAAGCAGCAGGUUAAUACCCCGCUGUUCUGACGGUACCCAAAGAAUAAGCACCGGCUAACUUCGUG
rnacentral:rRNA from 1 species